rnacentral:sRNA from 1 species
UAUAACGAAUGACUUCGUUAUUGGUUUUUUAUGCUGACUUUCAUUCGGAGGAGUAUUACUACUUUGGAGGGAGGGGUUAUUGCGUCGUAUCAAUUCUAAGGUAUAAAAAAAGCGCCCUGAGGCGCUUUUUUGU